GGGGAUGUAGCUCAGUUGGUAGAGUAUCUGCCUAUCAUGCAGGACACCCUGGGUCCCACUCCCA
rnacentral:tRNA from 1 species